CCACAACAGUCAACGCAGAGGAAGACUACAGGGCCAGGGGAUUGUAUCAGACUCGUGUAGGCUACAGACUCUCAUCAAACUCUGAUUCAGCACAUCCCCCAAAUACUGCAAAUGGUGUACAGAGAUGUACAGAUCCAGCUGCCCGUCCAGCAGCUGAAGGCCAUAUUGGGCUGCUUUCUGCAGUCCACAUUCUUCUUCUUUCAACUUGUGUUGUAGUCGCUGGAUCAAAAUCAUCUCCUGAAGUAGACAUCGUUUACAAUUGAAGAGAAGCAAAAAGAGAGAAACUUAACAGGAACACUUAUUAAGGAAGGUGUGGGACACCCAUUAAGUCCAGCAAUGGCUCAUAUGGUGUUAGGUGGAAUAGUUGUUCAAUUAUGUAACGCAUGUGGGCUAUUCUGUGAUUACAAUAUCUGAUUUAAAUGAACAGAACAAACAAGGAUGCCAAAUAGAUAUGAGUCUAAUGGUGAACUAAAGACAAACCUGGAGCUAAACCGUGUUGAGAGAACAAUGGAUAAAGGUUGUAGCUAGUAGUAACUGCUCUAUAACUUGGACUCAGUAACUGGGUCCUUUUCAGUAGGCACGAAACUGGAUAAAACGAUUGUAUACAUAUGCUUUCUAGUGAACAAUGCAACAUACAACUGAUAAACAAAACUAACAUUAGAUCAAAUAUGUUUAUCUGACAAGCUAGGCUUCAUAGCUAGCUAGUAACACGAUAUCAAGCUUUUUUUCCCCUCCUGAUAUUCAAGUUCACUAGCUCCGAUAGCUAAACUUGUAAUCUCGUCCACCAGCCGGCUGUCUCUCUAGCAAUCGAGCCUGGGGACACGGUUAGCUAGCUAGCUUGCAAAGUUGCAAGCUAACUGUUGAUUGCACAAAGACAGUUAUCCUCCGAAAAGUUGUAAGUGAUCAUAUUUGAAGAGGAUAACUGUCAAACUGUUUAGCUUGCAGCCUAGCUUGUUAGCAUACCUUUCCACAUGCCGUCAAAUAGGGCACCGAACCACCACACCUCAAAUAUUAUUAGGUUUUCCACCAUUUACGAAACACGAUUUGAAUUCUGAUCCAGCUCCAGCCACAAGCCAAAUAUCGCGACAGAUAAUGAUACGUCUGUUGCUCUGCCUUUUUACAAGGAUCAAUACUUUAUGUCAAUAAUGCACAACGUGUGUUUGAAAAUGUUAUGAACAUAUAAUACAGUCCACCAUGUUUAUUGCUAUGAUUAUAUUAUCCAAUAAUCUGAUGUUAUUCUCUCA